UAGUCUGGUGCCAGCAGCCGCGGUAAUUCCAGCUCCAAUAGCGUAUAUUAAAAUUGUUGCAGUUAAAACGCUCGUAGUCGGAUUUCGGGGCAGGUUUGCCGGUCUGCCGAUGGGUAUGCACUGGUAGAACUGUCCUUCCUUCCGGAGACGGCGCCUACUCUUAACUGAGCGGGUGUCGGAGACGGAUCGUUUACUUUGAAAAAAUCAGAGUGUUUCAAGCAGGCAGCUCGCUUUUGCAUGGAUUAGCAUGGGAUAAUGAAAUAGGACUUUGGUGCUAUUUUGUUGGUUUCGAACACCGAAGUAAUGAUUAACAGGGACAGUCAGGGGCACUCGUAUUCCGCCGAGAGAGGUGAAAUUCUUAGACCAGCGGAAGACGAACCACUGCAAAAGCAUUUGCCAGGGAUGUUUUCACUGAUCAAGAACGAAAGUUAGGGGAUCGAAGACGAUCAGAUACCGUCGUAGUCUUAACCAUAAACCAUGCCGACUAGGGAUUGGAGGAUGUUCCUAUGUGACUCCUUCAGCACCUUUCGGGAAACUAAAGUCUUUGGGUUCCGGGGGGAGUAUGGUCGCAAGGCUGAAACUUAAAGGAAUUGACGGAAGGGCACCACCAGGAGUGGAGCCUGCGGCUUAAUUUGACUCAACACGGGGAAACUUACCAGGUCCAGACAUUGUGAGGAUUGACAGAUUGAGAGCUCUUUCUUGAUUCGAUGGGUGGUGGUGCAUGGCCGUUC
rnacentral:rRNA from 1 species